GAUGAACGCUGGCGGCGUGCUUAAUACAUGCAAGUCGAACGGUGAACACGGAGCUUGCUCUGUGGGAUCAGUGGCGAACGGGUGAGUAACACGUGAGCAACCUGCCCCUGACGCUGGGAUAAGCGCUGGAAACGGCGUCUAAUACUGGAUAUGUGACGUGACCGCAUGGUCUGCGUUUGGAAAGAUUUUUCGGGUGGAGAUGGGCUCGCGGCCUAUCAGCUUGUUGGUGAGGGAAUGGCUCACCAAGGCGUCGACGGAGAGCCGGCCUGAGAGGGUGACCGGCCACCCUGGGACUGAGACACGGCCCAGACUCCUACGGGAGGCAGAAGUGGGGAAUAUUGCACAAUGGGCGCAAGCCUGAUGCAGCAACGCCGCGUGUGGGAUGACGGCCUUCGGGUUGUGAACCUCAUUUAGCAGGGAAGAAGCGAAAGUGACGGUACCUGCAGAAAAAGCGCCGGCUAACUACGUG
rnacentral:rRNA from 1 species